AACGAACGCUGGCGGCGUGCCUAACACAUGCAAGUCGUGCGAGAAAGUUCCUUCGGGAGCGAGUAAAGCGGCGCACGGGUGAGUAACACGUAGGUAACCUGCCCCCCAGUCUGGAACAACUAGAGGAAACUCUAGCUAAUGCCGGAUGAGACCACGAUCCCUUCGGGGGUUGCGGCCAAAUAUGGCCUCUACUUGUAAGCUAUCGCUGAAGGAUGGGCCUGCGGCUAUUAGCUUGUUGGUGAGGUAACGGCUCACCAAGGCUGUGAUGGCUAGCUGGUCUGAGAGGAUGACCAGCCACACUGGGACUGAGACACGGCCCAGACUCCUACGGAGGCAGCAGUGGGGAAUAUUGCGCAAUGGGCGAAAGCCUGACGCAGCGACGCCGCGUGGGUGAUGAAGGCCUGGUCGUAAG
rnacentral:rRNA from 1 species